rnacentral:rRNA from 1 species
GGUUAAGUUAGAAAGGGCGCACGGUGGAUGCCUUGGCACAGGAGCCGAUGAAGGACGGGACGAACACCGAUAUGCUCGGGAGCUGUAAGCAAGCUUUGAUCCGGAGAUUUCCGAUGGGGAAACCCACUGCUCGUAAUGGAGUAGUAUCCAUACUUGAUACAUAGAGUAUGAGAGGCAUACCCGGGAACUGAAAACAUCUAAGUACCCGGAGGAAGAGAAAGCAAAUGCGAUUCCCUGAGUAGCGGCGAGCGAAACGGGAACAGCCCAAACCAAGAGGCUUGCCUCUUGGGGUUGUAGGACACUCUAUACGGAGUUACAAAGGAACGAUAUAAGCGAAGAGGUCUGGAAAGGCCCGCCAAAGAAGGUAACAGCCCUGUAACUGAAAUGUUGUUCUCUCCAGAGUGGAUCCUGAGUACGGCGGAACACGUGAAAUUCCGUCGGAAUCCGGGAGGACCAUCUCCCAAGGCUAAAUACUCCCUAGUGACCGAUAGUGAACCAGUACCGUGAGGGAAAGGUGAAAAGCACCCCGGAAGGGGAGUGAAAUAGAUCCUGAAACCGUGUGCCUACAAGUAGUCAGAGCCCGUUAAUGGGUGAUGGCGUGCCUUUUGUAGAAUGAACCGGCGAGUUACGAUCCCGUGCAAGGUUAAGCAGAAGAUGCGGAGCCGCAGCGAAAGCGAGUCUGAAUAGGGCGCAUGAGUACGUGGUCGUAGACCCGAAACCAGGUGAUCUACCAAAGUCAGGACACUGAAUGAGGCCCGAACCCACGCACGUUGAAAAGUGCGGAUGAGGUGUGGUAGGGGUGAAAUGCCAAUCGAACCUGGAGAUAGCUGGUUCUCUCCGAAAUAGCUUUAGGGCUAGCUCCAAGGUAAGAGUCCUCGGAGUAGAGCACUGAUUGGACUAGGGGCCCUACCGGGUUACCGAAUUCAGUCAAACUCCGAAUGCCGAUGACUUAUCCUUGGGAGUCAGACUGCGAGUGAUAAGAUCCGUAGUCGAAAGGGAAACAGCCCAGACCGCCAGCUAAGGUCCCAAAGUAUACGUUAAGUGGAAAAGGAUGUGGAGUUGCUUAGACAACCAGGAUGUUGGCUUAGAAGCAGCCACCAUUUAAAGAGUGCGUAAUAGCUCACUGGUCGAGUGACUCUGCGCCGAAAAUGUACCGGGGCUAAACGUAUCACCCGAAAGCUGCGACUGUUCUUACGAACAGUGUAGGAGAGCGUUCUAAGUGCUGUGAAGUCAGACCGGAAGGACUGGUGGAGCGCUUAGAAGUGAGAAUGCCGUAUGAGUAGCGACAGGUGAGAAUCCCGUCCACCACCGAAUGCCUAAAGGUUUCCUGAGGAAGGCUCGUCCGCUCAGGGUUAGUCGGGACCAACGCGAGGCCGAAAGGCGUAGGCGAUGGACAACAGGUUGAUAUUCUGUACCACUCCUCACCAUUUGAGCAAUGGGGGACGCAGGAGAUAGGUAAGCGCGGUAUUGAUAUCCCGCGUCCAAGCAGUUAGGCUGGGAAAUAGGCAAAUCCGUUUCCCGUAAAGGCUGAGCUGUGAUGGCGAGCGAAAUUUAGUAGCGAAGUUCUUGAUUCCACACUGCCAAGAAAAGCCUCUAGCGAGGUGAGAGGUGCCCGUACCGCAAACCGACACAGGUAGGCGAGAGAGAAUCUAAGGUGAUCGAGAGACUCUCGUUAAGGAACUCGGGCAAAAAUGACCCCGUAACUUCGGGAGAAGGGGUGUCUUAGGGUGUUAAAGCCCGAGAAGCCGCAGUGAAUAGGCCCCAGGCGACUGUUUAGCAAAAACACAGGUCUCUGCGAAGCCGUAAGGCGAAGUAUAGGGGCUGACGCCUGCCCGGUGCUGGAAGGUUAAGAGGAGCGCUUAGCGUAAGCGAAGGUGCGAAUUGAAGCCCCAGUAAACGGCGGCCGUAACUAUAACGGUCCUAAGGUAGCGAAAUUCCUUGUCGGGUAAGUUCCGACCCGCACGAAAGGCGCAACGAUCUGGGCACUGUCUCAACGAGAGACUCGGUGAAUUAUAAGCACCUGUGAAGAGCGUUACCCGCGACAGGACGGAAAGACCCCGUGAGGCUUUACUGCAGCCUGAUAUUGAAUGUUGGUACAGCUUGUACAGGAUAGGGUAGGAGCCUUGGAAACCGGAGCGCUAGCUUCGUGGAAGGCAUCGGUGGAUAACUACCCCGCUGCCUUAACGGAGAGGGCAGGGAGACAGUCAGGUGGCAGUUUGACUGGGGCGGUCGCCUCCUAAAUGUAACGAGGCGCAGGUUCUCAGAUAUGGGAAAUCAGCAGAGUGUAAAGGCAACAGGGAGCUUGACUGCGAGACCUAGUCGAGCAGGGACGAAAGUCGGUAGUGAUGGUGUUGCAUGAGGGCCAUCGCUCAAACGGAUACAGGAUAUCCCAAGAGUCCACAUUCGACGGGAGUUUGGCACCUCGAUGUCGGCUCAUCGCAUCCUGGGCUGUAGUCGGUCCCAGGGUUGGGCUGUUCGCCAUUAAAGCGGUACGCGAGCUGGGUUCAGAACGUCCGUGAGACACGUUCGGUCCCCUACGUCGCGGGCGCAGGAAAUUUGAGAGGAGCCUGUCCUUAGUACGAGAGGACCGGGAAUGGACGCACCGCUGGUGUACCAGUUGUUCUGCCAAGGGCAUCGCUGGGUAGCUAUGUGCGGACGGGAAUAAGUUGCUGAAAGCAAUCUAAGCAUGAAAGCCCCCCUCAAAGAUGAGAAUUUCCCAUUCCGCAAGGAAGUAAGAUCCCUGAAAGAUGAUCAGGUUGAUAGGUCUGAGGUGGAAGCGUGGUGACACGUGGAGCUGACAGAUACUAAUAGAUCGAGGACUUAACCUA